GGGAAUGUAGCUCAGUUGAUGGUAGAGCACUUAUGUAACAUGCUUGAGGACCUGGGUUCAAUUCCCAGCACUGCCA
rnacentral:tRNA from 1 species